rnacentral:rRNA from 1 species
AUUGAACGCUGGCGGCAUGCCUUACACAUGCAAGUCGAACCGCAGCACGGGUGCUUGCACCUGGUGGCGAGUGGCGAACGGGUGAGUAAUACAUCGGAACAUGUCCUGUAGUGGGGGAUAGCCCGGCGAAAGCCGGAUUAAUACCGCAUACGAUCUACGGAUGAAAGCGGGGGACCUUCGGGCCUCGCGCUAUAGGGUUGGCCGAUGGCUGAUUAGCUAGUUGGUGGGGUAAAGGCCUACCAAGGCGACGAUCAGCAGCUGGUCUGAGAGGACGACCAGCCACACUGGGACUGAGACACGGCCCAGACUCCUACGGGAGGCAGCAGUGGGGAAUUUUGGACAAUGGGCGAAAGCCUGAUCCAGCAAUGCCGCGUGUGUGAAGAAGGCCUUCGGGUUGUAAAGCACUUUUGUCCGGAAAGAAAUCCUUGGCCCUAAUACGGUCGGGGGAUGACGGUACCGGAAGAAUAAGCACCGGCUAACUACGUG